AAAUUGCCUAUCUGUUACAGGGGAAGGUGGAGGUAGAAGUUUCCAAGAACAUGAUGUUUGAAGAUGGACCUUUUUUCCUCUUACGGGGUCAUGGCCUUCGAUUCAUCUUUCCCAGGAGCUAAGUGAAGCCAAACACGCCCAGGGAGACGGAGGCCCGAAUUGUCGGCUUGGCCUGGGGAUUCGAGGAGCAGAGCCAGGAGGAUCUCCUUGGCCAGGCUUUCGAAGCGGAAAAGUUUUUCCUCCUGCCUCUGGCUCCCCUGGAGGCUGCCCUGCCGCCACAUAACAACCCACCCUGCGGAAGUGCCCUGGAACCCAUCUACCAGAGGCCUCCCCACUGCGACCAUCAUUCCCUUGGGAUUGCUGGCAAGAAACAGCCUGACCAGGGGGGAGGGAACCGGGAUGAGGGGCACACGGGCAGGGCAGCGGACACGGGGGUCCCGCUCCUGAGAAGGUCAGAGGGCUCGGCCCCCUUGAGGCUGAGCCCCCCUCGCCCACAUGCCAGCUCCCUUUGCAAAGAGCUCCCGGUGGCUUGAGCGACCCCCGCGGUGGGACGGCGUGUGGACAUUCCAUGGGUUUUGGCCAUGGUCCCCAAAGGGAAGUGAAGCUGAAGGUGAGGAGGGAAGCCCUGGGGACUGACCCCCGACCUCACUGUCCCUCUCUUGCUCCUCAGUCUUUUUCAGGAGGCGAUGGAGCAGUAGUAUCCAA